UAGGGAAUAUUGGACAAUGGGCGAAAGCCUGAUCCAGCCACGCCGCGUGAGUGAUGAAGGCCUUCGGGUUGUAAAGCUCUGUGGGAAGGGACGAAAAAAGCGGGUUCGAAUAGGUCCCGCUCUCGACGGUACCUUCUUAGCAAGCACCGGCUAACUCUGUGCCAGCAGCCGCGGUAAUACAGAGGGUGCAAACGUUGCUCGGAAUUACUGGGCGUAAAGCGCGUGUAGGCGGACCCGCAAGUCGGGUGUGAAAUCCCUAAGCUCAACUUAGGAACUGCAUCCGAAACUGCGUGUCUAGAGUACUGGAGAGGGAAGCAGAAUUCCUGGUGUAGAGGUGAAAUUCGUAGAUAUCAGGAGGAACACCGGUGGCGAAGGCGGCUUCCUGGACAGUGACUGACGCUGAGACGCGAAAGCGUGGGGAGCAAACAGGAUUAGAUACCCCCGUAGUCC
rnacentral:rRNA from 1 species